rnacentral:rRNA from 1 species
GUGCUCUACGGGGCGCAGCAGUGGGGGAUAUUGCACAAUGGGGGAAACCCUGAUGCAGCGACGCCGCGUGAGUGAAGAAGUAAUUCGUUACGUAAAGCUCUAUCAGCAGGGAAGAAAAUGACGGUACCUGACUAAGAAGCCCCGGCUAACUACGUGCCAGCAGCCGCGGUACUACGUAGGGGGCAAGCGCUAUCCGGAAUUACUGGGCGUAAAGGGAGCGCAGCCGGCAGUGCAAGUCUGGAGUGAAAGCCCGUGGCUUAACUACGUGACUGCUCUGGCAACUUUGCACCUCGAGCGCAGUAGAG